rnacentral:rRNA from 1 species
ACGGGUGAGUAAUGUCUGGGGAUCUGCCCGAUAGAGGGGGAUAACCACUGGAAACGGUGGCUAAUACCGCAUAACGUCGCAAGACCAAAGAGGGGGACCUUCGGGCCUCUCACUAUCGGAUGAACCCAGAUGGGAUUAGCUAGUAGGCGGGGUAAUGGCCCACCUAGGCGACGAUCCCUAGCUGGUCUGAGAGGAUGACCAGCCACACUGGAACUGAGACACGGUCCAGACUCCUACGGGAGGCAGCAGUGGGGAAUAUUGCACAAUGGGCGCAAGCCUGAUGCAGCCAUGCCGCGUGUAUGAAGAAGGCCUUCGGGUUGUAAAGUACUUUCAGCGGGGAGGAAGGCGAUGGGGUUAAUAACCCUGUCGAUUGACGUUACCCGCAGAAGAAGCACCGGCUAACUCCGUGCCAGCAGCCGCGGUAAUACGGAGGGUGCAAGCGUUAAUCGGAAUUACUGGGCGUAAAGCGCACGCAGGCGGUCUGUUAAGUCAGAUGUGAAAUCCCCGGGCUUAACCUGGGAACUGCAUUUGAAACUGGCAGGCUUGAGUCUUGUAGAGGGGGGUAGAAUUCCAGGUGUAGCGGUG